UUAUUAUUUUUUAAUUUUAAACAGAAAAGUCUUUAAUUAAAUUAUUAUUAUUAUUUUUGUUCCCAAUACGAAAUAUUAUAAACCUUUUAUUCUCGUUAACCCUAGGGACGUUCUAACUACGUUCCUUUUAUAUUAAGUCGACUUUCUAUUACCGGUUUUUAUUAUAUUUUUUGCAACUGGUUUUAUUACAAAUCUACACCUAAAAUACUCCCGGAUUUUCCCCCCGUUUACUUUUCUUAACAUUAGUAAUAGUAAAAUUUAUAACCGUACCACUUACAUAUAAAAUAAACUAAUUUUGUUCUUAUUGUAAUAUUUCUUUCGUAUUUGCAAAUUGGUAUAUUCCGUUACAUAUAUAUUUUUUAUUAUUAAUUUAUUUUUCUCACGCGUAAUUAAUUUAUUUAUAGCAAAUUGCAAUUAUGAGAAUAAUCUUCUCAAUAUUAUUUAUUUAUUUAAUAGUAUUAACUUAGCUAAUUAAUUUAAUACUAGUAAAAACUAAAUUCAAAAAAAAAACUAAACAGUUGUUCGGGGUUUUAAUACAUUGUAUAUUACUUGCCGGAUGGUUUAAAAGUAAAAAAAUGUAAACGUUUUGGCCAAAUGAGCUUUUUUAAAAAUAAGGUAAAUUUCUCGCGAACUUUAUUAAAAAUUAAAACGGCCAAAAAGUAUAAUUUUAAAUUAUAAAAUUACGUUUUUUAAUCUGGUAAAUCUUAAUAUUUCUGUAAAAAGUUUUUUUUCCAUUAACCCCCUAUUUUUCCAAACGUUUUAAUAACGUAUCGCGUUAUAUAUUUUGGCAGUCUUCAAGUUUACGUUUUUAUUCCCCCAUUAUCGCGUUUUCAAAUAAUAAAUACAUAAUUGAAUAAAUAUAAAAGUAACAAAAUAAUAAAAGGUGGUGUAAAUAAAAGCCGAUUAUCCUGUCCACGUUAAUAUACACCCGCUAAAAAUAGAAAUAUAUUUCUAUUCCUGGUUAAAAUAUUUAAUGUGUUUUGAAAAUUUCUUUCUUACACCUGUUUAAUUUCAAUUUAUAUUGGUUUUAUAUAUUUAAGUAACUUUGAGGACGUUUUAACUCCCUUAUAUUUACCUGUUACAACUUGCCCGAUAAUAUAACAAAUAGGCAGAUUGCAUAAAAAUCCCGCAGUAUUUAUACUUGGCAAAUACCUCGUCGAUCCCAAUUAUAUUCUUUUUUUGUACGCACGUAAUAUUACUCCGUUUUAAAAGAAUAUUUUGUUUAUUUUUAAAUUUCCCAUUAUCUUCAAUAUUUACUUUGGGAUAUUUCUAUUAAAAGGUUUCAAAACGCAGGUUUAUUUCUUUAAUUAAAGUAAGUUAUAUUUUUGGAACCCAGAUUGUAAUUAGUUUAUUUUUCUGUCAUUUUAAUAAUAGAAUUAAACUUCCUCGUUUUAAUAAAAGCCCCGUUAUAUUCUUUUGCUUUACUUUUUAACCAAAUGGUAAUAUUUUUACUAAUAUGGUAACCUCCCGUAUUUUACAUUGCUUUUUUUAAUAAUAUUAGACGAAAUUAAUUUUCGAUCAAAAUAUUUCCCAAAAAAACGUUAUGGUAAUAUUACGACCAGGGUCUAAACCGACACGACUGGGCAAAAACGGAAAAAAUGUCGGAAACCCAAACCAAAACCCCCGAAAACCACGGACAGAAACAAAAAAAAAGCACGAAAUUACGUAACGAUAAAAUAAAAAACCCUAACCCGAUUACCGAAAGGAAAUAAUUAUAUAAGCAAAACGAUUACUACCCCCGAAUUUACUAUUGUGCAAUAAUUAUUUACGGGAAAUAAUUACUGGUUUAUAUAAAAUACGCUUAUUACCAUAUAAAUAAAUUCGAUUUUGGGAUUGUUUA
rnacentral:sRNA from 1 species